UGUUGGAGAGUCUCCAUCCAGCUGGGUCUCUGUCACAGAGAAACUUAUGACUACAAACCCCGGCUCCUCUCCUCCUCCCCUUGUGUGGUGGUCCGUUCCACUUGGUGUUCUGGUUCUCCUGGUUCUCCUGGUUCUCCUGGUUCUCCUGGUGAGACGAUGCAUCCAUUGGAAACCUAAAGCUGAAGUAGAAGCUGGAGAUGACUGCGUCACAUACAGUGAUGUCACAAUAUCACGUAACCUGCAGCAGCCAAUCAGACGGAGCAGAGAGAGAUAUUCAAUUGCAAUCUACUCCGGAGUGAGAACAGAAGACGUCAGUCACGGACAAAUAGGGAUCAAAGACGAGAAAUCAACCAGGAAGCGACUAUUUCGAUUAGCGGAUUAAUCCUCAUCUGGUGCUCUAGUGAUGAGUAUUUGUGUAUAAACUACAGUGUGUGUUCAUGGUGAUGAAGAAACAUGUCAUCCAGUGCAACAAGGACCAUCUUUACAUUCACAAUAUUUUGCCCUUAUUCUGAAAAAGAUAUUAUUCUGACUAAGCUGUUUACAUUGUUAAUAUAUGAAUAUUCCACUAACAGCCAACACACAACCUAUUACUAAUAUGACUUCAUUUAAAGGAACACCACGACUUAUUGGGAAUUUAGCUUAUUCACCAUAACCCCCAGAGUAAG